AAGUAGGUCUGUGUUAAGUUAUGGGUAUUAUUGGUAUAUUUGGACGGGUCUCAAGGGGCUCGGGUAAGUUUCGGACAUGGUUUAGAUAAAUUUUGUCUUCUGCUACAUUGCUGAAGGAGUGUUGGUUAUGGUGUUGCGCGCCUGCAGUUGGUUUUGCGCUAGUGCAGUGAUCACAGAAGCAGUAAUGUUGUCGCACCCACGAAAAGGGGCGGAGCUUGGAGUAUUCACAGGUGCAAAAAUUGAGGUACAUCUGCGGCCCCGCAGAAGCGAUGGACUUGGGCGCAGAAGCGAGCUGGAGCGCAAAAAUGUGUUUCGCUUCGCACUUGCGGUUGCGCAGAAGCGGAUGGAGAUCCGCAGGUGUGAGGGGUCAGCUGGCUAGUGGAGUACACAAAAGAGGUAUUUGUGUCGCAGAAACGACGCCGCAGAAGCGGCUCAUGUGUUCGCAAAAGCGAAAAUAGCUGGGCAUAAGCUUUAAAUUGAGGGUUUGGUCACUUUAUUCGUAUUUGGAGCUAUAGACCUAGGAUUGAGACGAUUCUUGAAGAGAUUUUCACCACAUGGAUUGGGGGUUAGACCACACAGUGACACCAUAAUAGAGAACUAGAUUUGGAAAGGUCAGUGUCCAGUUAUGCGCUACUGAGUCUGUUGUUUCUUGGUCUUUUUGGUGCUCGCACUGUGAUGUGGAUCUUUAGCUUUGAGGAAAACCGGGUUUUUUCUGCAUCUCUAGUGAUUUCCUCUGUAUGGUAUGGGCUUUUCCAGCUUCUCACUUGACUGGGCCUUCGGUUGGUAGUGAUUUCAGAUAGGAGGAUAUUAUUUAAUCCUGAAUUACACUGUUAUUUAACACAAUACUUUUAUCUUCAUCAUCAAACUCUUGCCUCAUUGUGAGAAGUCAUGAUUGAUUUAAAUUCUCAGCUUAGCAGAAGUCAUAGUUGAAUAUUGGAAUUGUUACCUUCUUGGCUAGUUGAAUGCGCUAUGAUCAUCUAAUCUUAAUCAUUUACUGGCUUAUUAAAUAUUAGCGAGGGACACAUUGCUUGAUAUAUAGAUAUCAAAUGAGCAAAAGUGUGCGUAAUUUAGAUUUCAGCGUUUCAAAAAUCCUUUCAAGUAUUUUACAUUACACUGUUCCGAUUUGGUUUCUAUUUCAAAUUGAUCGAUAUCAAGAUGUUUUGCUGCGUAUUUCUUCUUUUCUCUACCCAGAGUUAUGUUGAUUUAACAGCGGAUACCUGAAACCAUU